GAUCAUGGCUCAGGACGAACGCUGGCGGCGUGCUUAACACAUGCAAGUCGAACGAAAAGAGGGAAAGAGCUUGCUCUUUCCGGAAUUGAGUGGCAAACGGGUGAGUAACACGUAAACAACCUGCCUUCAGGAUGGGGACAACAGACGGAGACGACUGCUAAUACCGAAUAAGUUCCAAGAGCCGCAUGGCCCAUGGAAGAAAAGGUGGCCUCUACCUGUAAGCUAUCGCCUGAAGAGGGGUUUGCGU
rnacentral:rRNA from 1 species